rnacentral:rRNA from 1 species
GACGAACGCUGGCGGCGUGCUUAACACAUGCAAGUCGAACGGAAAGGCCCUGCUUUUGUGGGGUGCUCGAGUGGCGAACGGGUGAGUAACACGUGAGUAACCUGCCCUUGACUUUGGGAUAACUUCAGGAAACUGGGGCGAAUACCGGAUAGGAGCUCCUGCUGCAUGGUGGGGGUUGGAAAGUUUCGGCGGUUGGGGAUGGACUCGAGGCUUAUCAGCUUGUUGGUGGGGUAGUGGCUUACCAAGGCUUUGACGGGUAGCCGGCCUGAGAGGGUGACCGGCCACAUUGGGACUGGGAUAGGGCCCAGACUCCUACGGGAGGCAGCAGUGGGGGAUAUUGCACAAUGGGCGGAAGCCUGAUGCAGCAACGCCGCGUGCGGGAUGACGGCCUUCGGGUUGUAAACCGCUUUCGCCUGUGACGAAGAGUGAGUGACGGUAAUGGGUAAAGAAGCACCGGCUAACUACGUG